UACGAAGGGGGCUAGCGUUGUUCGGAUUUACUGGGCGUAAAGCGCACGUAGGCGGCUUUGUAAGUUAGAGGUGAAAGCCCAGGGCUUAACCCUGGAAUUGCCUUUAAGACUGCAUCGCUAGAAUCGUGGAGAGGUAAGUGGAAUUCCGAGUGUAGAGGUGAAAUUCGUAGAUAUUCGGAAGAACACCAGUGGCGAAGGCGACUUACUGGACACGUAUUGACGCUGAGGUGCGAAAGCGUGGGGAGCAAACAGG
rnacentral:rRNA from 1 species